rnacentral:rRNA from 1 species
AGUGAACGCUGGCGGCGUGCCUAACACAUGCAAGUCGAACGAUGAUGGAGAGCUUGCUCUCCUGAUUAGUGGCGCACGGGUGAGUAUACCAUAGAUAAUGUACCUCUUAGUUCGGGAUAGCCACUGGAAACGGUGAUUAAUACCGGAUACUCCUUCCUGUCUUAAGGCAAGUCGGGAAAGUUUUUUCGCUAAGAGAUCAGUCUAUGUCCUAUCAGCUAGUUGGUGAGGUAAUGGCUCACCAAGGCAAUGACGGGUAUCUGGUUUGAGAGGAUGAUCAGACACACUGGAACUGAGACACGGUCCAGACUCCUACGGGAGGCAGCAGUGAGGAAUAUUGCACAAUGGAGGAAACUCUGAUGCAGCAACGCCGCGUGGAGGAUGACGCAUUUCGGUGUGUAAACUCCUUUUAAGAGGGAAGAUAAUGACGGUACCUCUUGAAUAAGCACCGGCUAACUCCGUGCCAGCAGCCGCCGUAAUAC